GCGGGGGAGAUACCAUGAUCAUGGAGGUGGUUUUUUGAGGAAAGGACUUAGCCAUUGCACUCCUAAUAUGCUGACCUCUAUGGUUUUCCCAAACCAGAAAACUAGACUACAUAAUUUGUGGUAGUGGGAAAUUGUGUUCAAGUUCUCC
rnacentral:snRNA from 11 species